GCCUCUUGAUUUAAUCAUAAGAGGUCCAGCCUGCCCAGUGACAUUGUUCAACGGCCGCGGUAUCCUAACCGUGCGAAGGUAGCGUAAUCACUUGUCCUUUAAAUGAGGACUAGUAUGAAUGGCCCCACGAAAGCUAUACUGUCUCCUUUUUCUAAUCAGUUAAACUAAUCUCCCCGUGAAGAAGCGAGGAUAAACAUAUAAGACGAGAAGACCCUAUGGAGCUUUAAAUAACUGAAACAUUUGCAUCCCACUUUAAAUUUCCGAAAUCUACACUUAAUUCCACAUCUUGUUUCUAGUUUUAGGUUGGGGUGACCACGGAGAAAAACCAAACCUCCAUGCCGAAAGAAACAUCUCUAAACAAAAAACUACAAUUUUAUGUAUUAACACAUUAACCUUAAUUGACCCAAUUUAUUGAUCAACGAACCAAG
rnacentral:rRNA from 1 species